GGUCGAAAGAGGAAAUUCAUUCGCGUUUCGAUCGUCGAUGUUGAACGUUUGUAUGACGAAUUAUGUUUCGGCAUAGUUUGCGUCUUACGUUCUUGAAAUCGAUAUCGAACGCGUGCACUUUUCCUCUAGUAGGACGUCGUGAUCCGUUGGGUGUCUGUCUAAGAUUCUGGGAGGAGCCCAUGUGAUUUUUUAAUUAUGUGGACCCCAGAUCAUCCGACAGACUCGCUCGACGGUAUAAAAAUGGCGAGAGGCCGCUAAUUUAAUUAGCGUUCGGCCCGUAGCAAGCACGUUCCGUGUUUGACGGCGAUCGGACCUAGUGCCGAUUCUGUCCCGAAACGACUGUUGGUUGCGGUGUUCUCGAACAGACCUCG
rnacentral:rRNA from 1 species